rnacentral:misc_RNA from 1 species
AGGAAAUAUUAUGAGAUCAGAUUGCUUUACCUUGCAGGUGCUAUUAUUGCUGGUUUACUUGGUGUCAUGCUCGACUUUCCACUUAUUUCAUUUGUUGCCCUCUACAAAAGCCCGUACAUGCUCUUUAAGGGGUGGCAUCGUCUGGUUCAUGACCUCAUAGGACGGGAAGGCCCAUUCUUGGAGACAAUAUGUGUACCAUUUGCAGGUCUUGCUAUCCUUCUCUGGCCAUUGGCUGUUGUUGGAGCAGUUUUGGGCUCCAUGGUAUCCAGCAUCUUCCUUGGUGCUUAUGCAGGCGUGGUUGUUUAUCAGGAUUCCUCAUUUUGGUUCGGGCUUUGCUAUAUUGUCGCAUCCUGGGCUAUUUAUGAUGAAUACAGCAAUGACAUCUUGGACAUGUCAGAAGGAUCUUGCUUUCCGAGGCCGAAGUACCGAAAAGCUGAACUGACAAAGAGCACAUCUCGUGCAUCCUCUUUUUCAAGGCCUAGUUCUUUUCAAAAUCGACUCAAGCGCACAGAGUCUCUUACACCUAUGCUUGAUCUAAAACCAUUUGCGGUGCUUGAUGCCUUAUUUAAGGAGUGUCAACGCCAUGGGGAGCAUUUUCUUUAUGAAGGAUUAAUAACACCAAAAGACAUUGAAGAUGCCAAGGCUAACAAGGGUGGCACUGUGGUUAGCAUUGGCUUGCCAGCUUAUUGCCUUCUUCAGGCGCUCCUGCGCUCUGUGAAAGCCAAUUCUGAGGG